rnacentral:rRNA from 1 species
CCUACGGGAGGCAGCAGUGAGGCAUAUUGGUCAAUGGCCGAGAGGCUGAACCAGCCAAGUCGCGUGAGGGAGGAAUGUCCUAUGGAUUGUAAACCUCUUUUGUCAGGGAGCAAAGUCACCCACGUGUGGGCGUUGGAGAGUACCUGAAGAAAAAGCAUCGGCUAACUCCGUGCCAGCAGCCGCGGUAAUACGGAGGAUGCGAGCGUUAUCCGGAUUUAUUGGGUUUCAAGGGUGCGUAGGCGGGUGAUCAAGUCAGCGGUAAAAGCGUGGGGCUCAACGCCAGCCAGCCGUUGAAACUGAUGAUCUUGAGUGGGCGAGAAGUAUGCGGGAUGCGGGGUGUAGCGGUGAAAUGCAUAGAUAUCGCGCAGAACUCCGAUUGCGAAGGCAGCAUACCGGCGCCCGACUGACGCUGAAGCACGAAAGCGUGGGUAUCGAACAGGAUUAGAUACCCUGGUAGUC